GGUCCCGUGGUGUAGCCUGGUCUAACACGCUUCCUUGUCAAGGAAGAGACCACGGGUUCAAAUCCCGUCGGGACCG
rnacentral:tRNA from 1 species